rnacentral:rRNA from 2 species
CUUUGCCAUGCUAGUCGAACGGCAGCGCGGUACUUCGGUCUGGCGGCGAGUGGCGAACGGGUGAGUAAUACAUCGGAACGUACCCAGAAGUGGGGGAUAACGCAGCGAAAGUUGCGCUAAUACCGCAUACGUUCUACGGAAGAAAGUGGGGGAUCUUCGGACCUCAUGCUUUUGGAGCGGCCGAUGUCUGAUUAGCUAGUUGGUGGGGUAAAGGCUCACCAAGGCGACGAUCAGUAGCUGGUCUGAGAGGACGACCAGCCACACUGGAACUGAGACACGGUCCAGACUCCUACGGGAGGCAGCAGUGGGGAAUUUUGGACAAUGGGCGCAAGCCUGAUCCAGCAAUGCCGCGUGAGUGAAGAAGGCCUUCGGGUUGUAAAGCUCUUUUGUCAGGGAAGAAACGGCUCCGGCUAAUAUCCGGGGCUAAUGACGGUACCUGAAGAAUAAGCACCGGCUAACUACGUGCCAGCAGCCGCGGUAAUACGUAGGGUGCAAGCGUUAAUCGGAAUUACUGGGCGUAAAGCGUGCGCAGGCGGUUUUGUAAGUCUGUCGUGAAAGCCCCGGGCUCAACCUGGGAAUUGCGAUGGAGACUGCAAGGCUUGAAUCUGGCAGAGGGGGGUAGAAUUCCACGUGUAGCAGUGAAAUGCGUAGAGAUGUGGAGGAACACCGAUGGCGAAGGCAGCCCCCUGGGUCAAGAUUGACGCUCAUGCACGAAAGCGUGGGGAGCAAACAGGAUUAGAUACCCUGGUAGUCCACGCCCUAAACGAUGUCUACUAGUUGUCGGGUUUUAAUUAACUUGGUAACGCAGCUAACGCGUGAAGUAGACCGCCUGGGGAGUACGGUCGCAAGAUUAAAACUCAAAGGAAUUGACGGGGACCCGCACAAGCGGUGGAUGAUGUGGAUUAAUUCGAUGCAACGCGAAAAACCUUACCUACCCUUGACAUGAAGGAAUCCUGAGAGAUCUGGGAGUGCCCGAAAGGACCUUCACACAGGUGCUGCAUGCUGUCGUCAGCUCGUGUCGUGAGAUGUUGGGUUA